CCCCACGUAGAAGGCCAUGGGAGCUCACAGAGGGGAGUAAGAGAAGGCAUUUUGGAGGCGACCUUUGAGCUGGUUCUUAAGAUGGAUUUUGACAUUUUGAAUGGCAUUAGCAAGGUCCAGAAGUAAUAAAUGGUUGAACAGCGAGUGAUUGACUGCAAUCAAAAGUGGCUGAAGGAGAAGGAGUGAGCAGAGGCCAGAAAUGUGAGCCAGAUCAAGGAAUGGCCAACCUAAGCAGCUUCGAGAGAGGUGGGGACUUGGGCAGAAAAGUAAUGAAGGUUCCUCUCCCCUCCAAAUACAAUUACCAUGGGAGAGAUGGUGAACUUUCCUUCUUGGCAAUAUCUACUACCCCUCCUGGGUGGUAUUACAGGAGUUUAUAGCAGUCUCCAACUUGGAAAUAGUAUCAGGAUGCUGCUCCAACGAUCUUUCACGUCAAGGUCAGCCCACCCCCCAGUUGGGAACUGGUGGGAGCUACAGCCUGAAAGGACAGCGGAAGGAGGAGGGAAGACACACUAUAUUCAUCUACUCCGACAAGCAUCACGGGCAAAGCAAAAGCAAUGGAGAUGACUGGUCUGUGGGGACGGGGGGGUGGCACUCUCACAGGGAUGGCCGUGGCAGACACUGCUGAAGCCCAGAGCCACUACAACACUGCGACUUCAUGGCACACACAGUUAGGGGCAGUGAGAAAGGUUUACUUAACUGUUCUAGGCUGUAGCAAGGAUGGUUUAUGUUUGUGCUUAAAGGUGAAGAGAAGAAAAGAAACAAGGAGAGAAACUUUAGGUCAGAUAUAGAAAAUGAGAAUGAGCUCAAUGCAGAUGGUCAGUAAGCUAGACAUGCCCUUGCCACUCUAGCUACACUUGGGAACGUGCAGCUGGCUUUGCUGGGCCACCCUGCUGCCCAGCAAACCCAGACUCGACCUUUUCAGUCUCCAUUUCUACUCCAGAGAGAAUGUGCAAAAAAUCAAUCCAACACCACCUGUAAGUCCAGCAUUUCACAAAUCUCAUUGCAAAUGCAUCUGGGGACCCAGGGAACCCCGCUCUGUAUUCUAAAGAGAUGAACGUGUAAAGGUCACAGGCCCUAAGAGGCUCUACAGCCAUGAGCCUAUUGUCCACCCUUCUACCCUCAUCUCCCUUAUAUCAAGCUAGUCCUAAUUCUUAAGGAAACAGCAAUACGGCUCUGAAAAACAAGAAUCCUUAAGUACUUUUCCAGAGAAGAUGUAGUUUUCUUUGGAGGAAGAAACCACAGUGGCCCACACCAGACAGCUUUGGCUAUCUGGACCUUAAAAAGCUUGGGGCCUCUUUGUGCCACACUAGGGGGACAGGGCAUCAGAAGGUGGCCACUAAACAAUUUCCAACAUAUAAAACCAUAGAGAAACAAUUAUAGAGCUCCCCCCGUACCCAAUGAGACAAUCUCCUCUGGACUCUGCUGCCCCAAGGGAGAAGCAACCAACCCCACAUGUCGUUCUAUAGAAUUAAAUGUAGGAAAUCCUGCCCCCCUCCCCCCCCCCCCCAAAUAGCUCCCAACCACGGAGCUUCCACCUGUUCCAGGUGGGGACACGUCCCGUCCCCACCUAGGGCAGGUAGGUAGCAAGAAGUUAGAGCCCACCCCCGUCCCACAGCCUUCCCAGACAAGGUCACAAAUGACCCACAUUUUAAAAGGGAAUCUGCUUCCUUCUCUCCAAAACCCUGGAUGUGCAAAAGGGCUAUCGGAGUUAAAGGGAGUCACGAUUCUGCAACACAAAUCGAUGGGUCAUACCCCCAACCUUAUAACUCUUAGGCAAUCCCCAGAGUGCCAAUCUGAAAUAAUUCAGAAAGCAAAGCAACUUGUGACAUAACAGGAACAUUAACUCUAAACAAAAAGUAGAAUCAAAACAAGAAAAGGAAUUAGUUUUGCAACAUACACAUAACCAAUCACGUCAGCGAAGGGUUGUUUGUAGAAAGCUUCAUCUGCCACCCUAGACAGCAAGAGGUCCAAAAGGCAGGCAAGCAGGCAGGAAAAAAGAGAGAACAUUGAGAAGCAGAAACAUCUCAAAUCCACAGUAGAGGCAUGACUGUGCUCCAGGGCGCUGCUCCCAAGGCUCCGUCCUCACCCAGCAAGGCUUCAAGUGCUGGAGACCAGCAGGCAAGGUUCUCCACUGGCCUUCCCCAGGGGCGGGUUCUCCCAAGGGAGCCCUGCCAACUCCUUCCCCACCUUCUCCUGACAACGGCGAGCCUUUCUCAGCACCCGCUUCCAGGUAAGCCCUUUUAGAGACUCCGAAUCCAUCCGAUCCAAUCCUCAACCCCAACGACCUAGGAGAACACUAGGACGUGGUCUCACCAACACUUUACAGAUCAGGUAACAGGAGGCCUAGAGAUGAAGCAACCUGCUCAAGCCCAGGUGGCAGAACUCGGAAGCAGGCCGGCCUGGCUCUCUGCACUGUGCAGUAAGGCUUCUUCCCCGCUGGCGGAUGACUGGGAAGCCACCCUGCCUUCCCGUCAGCCUCGGAGUCUCGCUAGGCAUGAACGCUGCCAGCUGCCCGACACCAAACACGCUAGGCCCCAAAGCCACUAUCCAACUACUGCUUCUGAACCACCCUGGCUGAAUGGGAUCAGUUUUCAGUAUUCUGGGAACAGAUGAGGAAAAAGUUGCCGGACACAAGUGGUCUGGCGGAAAGGACUGCAGCCCAGGGUCCUGGCUCUGGCACCGUCUUCCUGUGUGUCCCCGAAUAAGCUGGUUCGUCCGCUCAGUCCAUGCCAGACGGGACUGCCACCACAAGGUGCAGUCCAGAAACCCCAACUUCACUUCCCCUCUCUCUCACACCAGGAAUGGAUCAAAGUGGCAGGGCUCCUAUGGGACAGAAAGGGAAGGGGGGCACGCUGGGUGGAGGAGUUUACACCCCCACAGACAGGCUGGCUUAUUUAGACUUUGUUGCCCCAGGCUGAAUCCCUGGGCCCAGCCAGCCCACCCCAUCUAUUGUGGGUGGGCAGGGAACCUCCCUGCGGAAAUCUUACCCUGUCCUUUGCCAGGCUGGUUUUGGGGCACAGGAGCGGAAGGGGCAUUUUGAAGGAAAAUCAUGCCUGUUUAUUAACCUAGGGUCACUUAUUUAUUUAAAGGGAAAUUCUAGUAAUUUUAUUUCAGUUUAUUUUUAGACUCACCCACAGCUUGCCUUCUUUCCCAUUUUGGUUUAUACAUGGGGGGUGUUUUGUGGAAAUUUGAUUGUAACUCUCAGUGAGUCAGCAGGAAAACAGAGUUGUUUGUGGGCAGAAUGAGUGGGCGGGAAAGGAAAGGCCAGACAGCUUGUAAGCCCAUAAUCCUUUUAGUUUACACAAAGGGCUAAACCUAAUCAAUUUCAGUUUGUGCUUGCUCCUACUGGAAGAAAAUAAAGGUUUAGUGACUCCAGGGGAGGCAUCACUAAGACAACAAAAGCCUGAAUGCCAGGCUUCAGUUCCUUUGCAGUUAGCCCCAAGACUAAAGAGCUUGUUAGUGACAGCAGAGCCCCAUCCCGGUCGGGUUAACAGACGAGCAGGACAAAUGGAAAAUCAUCAUCUAAGUGGCCUGUUUGUUCUUCGCCCACCAGACAGAAGGGCCUGAACGCAGCAAUCCUCAUGGAAGCCUGUGGGAAAGGCUGCUUUCCCACAGGGUGCUCAAGAGGUGACCCACAUCAAUAGCCCCAACGGGGCCUGGGAAAAAUGUCCGCCAACUUUUAGAAGUCUUGAAAGAGGGGAAAAGCUAGCACCAGAGACCCCUGUAAAAGGGGAAAUGUUUCUGUCAGUUUGGAAGGGAACAUGCUCUGCGGCCGGUCUGGAGUACACACCGUCCCGACUGGCUCCCGUGGAGGAGGAAUUUGUUCCCACGGGCUGUCACCAAUAAUUGAGGGCUCUUGUGCAGGGGCAUCUGCAUCCUGAGUUGGGAUAAAAGCAGGGAGAUGCAAUCUGAGGACUGAUACCAGCCUACAGAUGCAGUGAAGGCAAGAUCUGCUGCCAUCUGCCCAGCACCGUGCCUGGGCACCUAGAAGUCAGGAGGCCUGACGAUACAAAUACAGGCCCUCGCUACCCACCGCAUCUCUUCUUUCAAACUACUCUACCUAUCUUUGUGUUCCCCCUUAAAAAUCCAGCUGCUGCAAAAGUCAUCCAGAGAGAAGGGCUUGAAACGAACACUUCAUUUUCUCAAAAUACUCACUCUUUACCUAUGAACAGAGUUCCUUUACAUAUAUAAAUGGGACUUAGUCCCACAGGAUGCUGUUUAGAGAAUCAAACACGGAGGGGGAGUGGUCAACAAUGUCACAAUCUCGAGGAGGGGGUGUGUGCCAUUGGAAGAAGCUCCCCCACGGUGGCUCUAAACGGCUCCCAUGCUAGUCCAUGAAAACUAACUGGAGUAAAAUGUAAAAACCACCCCUUCUAUCCUGGAACCCUGGUGACAAUGGCUCAUGUGCCUCUAGUUUUACACACUCAGAGUCUGCCCUGCGCUUCGUGACCUGGUUUUGAAACAGCUACACAUUCUCCAUGAGUGGCAAGUUGAAGUCUUUUCCCCUCUCUGGAACUUGGGAAGUUCACCUAUGACAUCAUCCAACCAGACAUUGUACGAUUCUAAGAAAGGUACCAAAGCCCUAAACCGAUGCCUGGAGGGACUAAACCUUAGAGACUGAGCUCCUGAAAACAGGAGUGCUUACUCCAAGGAUAACUGAUACCGUAUACAGACAAUCCCUUUCUUUCCAGAAGGGCUACAGUUUAGCAAAACUGGCCUGAAAUUUCUGCAAUUAGAAGCCUAUUCCCACCAUAAUAAUUUUUUAAGUCUGAGAAUCUGUAUGCCAACUUGUUUACACAUCAGGGACCCUGAACAGGGAGGGUCAGCCUGGUUUUACCAAGUACUUCAGGGCAGACGGACUCCUGGGCAACUUGCUAGAAUAAAUGGGGCCUCACACGGUACUUGCACAAAGAACUCGCUCAUCUCCCUUUAGAGAUGUGAACUUGUAUCUGUGGUAAAUCAUCUGGAAUGAGCACAGAAUAAAGCAGCCUGGACCUGUCAGCACUUCAAAAUGACCACAAGCUCAGGAGAAGCCCUGGUAGUUAAUGCUACCCUGAGCAACUCAAUGUGAAGACCAGAGGGCAGUCCCCACCGUAUUAGAACUUCACUGGAACCUGAGAAGCAUUCCUAGAAAACACCUCCCCACAGGAAGGGGGCCAGGACUAGGCUCCCAUUUGGCAUUUAAGACGCAGCCAACAGAACCAACUAUGGCCAACAAGAGAAAGGUAGCCGAAGCCUACCGCACACAAUGGUCCAUCUGUUCUGCUGUAGGUGCCCCGCGAUGGCACAGGCUGGCUGGCAAAGCGGUCUGCUCCCUCUUUUCUGGCAGAUUUCCAGCAAGAAGCUGCCAGAGACCAGAGCACUUAAACCAACUUCUGCCUCUGAGGCAGGAACCUAAGAAGGCGCUUUACCCUGAAAAUUACAACUAUCCCCAGGCUCAGUCUAGCCUAUCUUUCCACUGAGGUAGUGAAGCGACUGUGUGAGAGGUGGGCUCGGGAUGCGGCAGGAAGGCGAGCCACUGGCCUACAUCAAGGCCAGCAGUGCUGCCUCCACCUCUCUGAGCUACUUCCAAGCAGACUGAGCAUGAGACCACAGCUCCUGCUCGGCGGGGAGAGGAGGAGGCGCUUAGUUUCUCCCUCAACUUUAGGGAGUACAUCCUGAAGAGCACUUUCAAAAGGUCAAUCUUAGGUCAAUUUUCUCAGACAGAUGUACGCGGAGGAUCCUUCGUUCUCAAGUCACCGUGUCAGAACAUCCCUGGCUACUGAAUUACAAAGCACAUUUCCCUGCUAACGGGCCCCUCUGCCUAGCAGCUUUCAGAAAGCAAGGCUGUAUUUAGGGGCUGCAACAUGACCAAGUCUAUAAUCCCCAAAGUACUGAGAUCCUGGUAUAUUCAUGAACGCAGCCCUUCAUUUCAGGGUUACGUUUUUGCAUGUGGACUUAAUCCAUGACGUAACUUUCCCUUUUGCUGCUUCAUACCGAUACAAGCAACACAUAUUAACCAAACUCUUAGCUGAAGAGCUAAAUCCACUGCAACUGGGAUGGCUAAAGGACAGGCUGGAUUAAGCUCAUAAGACCCGAGAGACCUGCAACCUUUAUGUUUCAAGUACUUUUUCCAAAACCUGCAAAUACAUUUCACACUAAAAGAGGCAGCACGUGAGAACUACACUGGCCACUGGAUAUGAAUUUGAUUCCAUCCUGGAAAGCAAGCAGUGCUGGCAGCACCGGGGACUGACCUGUUAUUUGCUUUUGUUUUCUGUAGCUGCUCGUCCUGCCUCGCAUACCACUCUUCUAGCUCCUUUAUUGCUUUUUCUUUCCACUCUGCUUCUUGCUUCCGAGAAUUGGCAUCUUUGAAGGGAAGGAAAAGAAAUAAAAUGAGGCAAAACACAAA